rnacentral:rRNA from 1 species
AAGUCGAGCGCACCCUUCGGGGCGAGCGGCGGACGGGUUAGUAACGCGUGGGAACGUACCCUUUUCUAAGGAAUAGCCUCGGGAAACUGAGAGUAAUACCUUAUACGCCCUUCGGGGGAAAGAUUUAUCGGAGAAGGAUCGGCCCGCGUUAGAUUAGAUAGUUGGUGGGGUAACGGCCUACCAAGUCUACGAUCUAUAGCUGGUUUUAGAGGAUGAUCAGCAACACUGGGACUGAGACACGGCCCAGACUCCUACGGGAGGCAGCAGUGGGGAAUCUUAGACAAUGGGCGCAAGCCUGAUCUAGCCAUGCCGCGUGUGUGAUGAAGGCCCUAGGGUCGUAAAGCACUUUCGCCAGGGAUGAUAAUGACAGUACCUGGUAAAGAAACCCCGGCUAACUCCGUGCCAGCAGCCGCGGUAAUACGGAGGGGGUUAGCGUUGUUCGGAAUUACUGGGCGUAAAGCGUACGUAGGCGGGUUAUUAAGUUAGAGGUGAAAUCCCAGGGCUCAACCCUGGAACUGCCUUUAAUACUGGUAACCUAGAGUUCGAGAGAGGUGAGUGGAAUUCCGAGUGUAGAGGUGAAAUUCGUAGAUAU